rnacentral:rRNA from 1 species
UACGUAGGGUGCAAGCGUUGUCCGGAAUUAUUGGGCGUAAAGAGCUCGUAGGCGGUCUGUCGCGUCGGCUGUGAAAACUCGGGGCUCAACCCCGAGCCUGCAGUCGAUACGGGCAGACUAGAGUGCUGUAGGGGAGACUGGAAUUCCUGGUGUAGCGGUGGAAUGCGCAGAUAUCAGGAGGAACACCGGUGGCGAAGGCGGAUCUCUGGGCCAUAACUGACGCUGAGGAGCGAAAGCGUGGGGAGCGAACAGG